AAGAAUAAAGUGAAUACGUCCAUACCACUACCUCGAAUGAAGUAGAGAAGUCGAUAGACCUACAAUUCAGGACAGGGAAUAGGAAUGACAGCAUUAAUUAAAAUUAAAUUUUGCUAUUGAAUGAGAUUAUAAAUUAACUUGAAUAAUGUAGAGUGAUGUCAAAAUUGACAAGUAACUACGUUUUAUGCAACUUGAGGCGUAAGGCCAAUCCCAGUGGCCUGCGAACCCCCAACCGCUUCCGAAUCCUUUCCAGGCAUCACCAUCCAAUGUGAAUCCUCCACUUCAGAACAAUCUCUUGGUGCCGGGGCUUGCCUUUUAUCCACAGCCACUCUCGGAGACGGAGGUGACUCCAUGGAUUCAGAAGCAUGUAGAGCCAACCUUCAUGGACCAGGUCCACGACCUGAAUGCUGCACCUCCGUCAUCGAUGGAGCUCCCGCUCCCCAUUGCACUGACCAACCCCGACUACAUCAUCCUGGACAAUCUGGAGGCGGGCAUGCACGAGAGGGCGUCAUCAGCGUUUCUGAAUCAGGUAUGCGUAUUCCUGUUAAAAGAGCAUGUUGCAAAAAAAGUAUACAUAAAUUGUCCGCAAAAUAUGUUGAAAUGCUCGAUCCAUGUAAGGCCCACCCUCAACCCGGACAUGGGGAAGUAUGCCUUGAUAAUGAGCCCGACUCUCAGGGGCUCGGAGCUUGCUUGUAACUCUGACAUUCGCUAUAACUUUACUCGGCCAAUGAACUUUAUUAUUUGGAACUGUAGGGGCACCAAGUCCCAAGAGUUUAGGUUGGCCUUUAAGGAAAUCCUAGAUAACUAUAAGCCUGUUUUAGUUGUCCUUUUGGAAAUCCAUAGAGAAAACCAUCAAUCCCUGCCUACCGAAUUCAGCUUCUCAAACGUAGCGGCCGUCCCAGCUGAGGGUCAGGCUGGGGGUAUGGCAAUUCUCUGGCAUGAUGAUGUUUUACAUGUAACUGACGUUGCCCUUACCCGCCAGGAAAUUUACUGCAUGGUUAAGGUGGUGACUUCAACGACAUUACAAGGACAAAUGAGAAGUUUGGGGGUAGGGGGUUCUCUGCUUCUAGAGCAAAUAACUUCUUAAACUGUCUCAAUUACUGCAAUAUGCUUGAUCUAGGUUUUAGUGGCAGUAAGUUUACCUGGACAAAUCUCAGACGCCAUGGCUAUUUGAUCUUAGAGCGUCUAGAUAGAAUUAAUAGCAAUGCAGCUUCGUUAGAACUCUUUUCCGAAGCUUCUGUCAAGCAUCUCCCUCGUCUCCACUCUGAUCACUGUCCUCUAAGUCUUGCUUUAACCCCGACCUAUCCUAUAAACAAUAGACCCGUCAGGCUAGAGUCUAUAUAGACCUUUCACCCUCAGUUCUCUGAAGUUGUCUCAUACUCCUGGCUCACCAUGAAUGACUUGUUUCUUCCCUCUAUUGCCUUAUUCAAAAAUGAGAUCUCUUUUUGGAAUAGAGAGGUUUUUGGCAACAUUUUUGUUAAGAAAAGGAAGCUGCUAGCCAGAUUAGUGGGAAUCCAAGCUUCUCCAAACUACCCAACUAGCUCCUUCUUGCAAACUCUUGAAGUUGACUUGUCUCAGGAAUUAAAUCGCUUAUUGCAAUUGGAACAUGACUUGUGGCAAUUAAAAUCAAGGGUUAACUGGCUCAAUAAUGGGGAUGCAAACACAAAGUUCUUCCAUAUCUCUGUCCUUAACAGAAGACGUAAGAAUCGUAUUCUAGCUCUACGAGACCAAGGUGGAAACUGGAUUGAAGGACGAGAUAAUUUGGAGUUUCAUAUCAUUAAUUUCUUCAAAAAUCUUUUCACUAUGGAUCUCAUUGCAUGCCCGCAUCAAGGUUUGUAUGCACCUUCUCGAUUCGUACCACCAGCUGUGCAUGUCCUGCUAGAACAGCCCCUCACUAGAGGUGAGAUCUCCUCAGCACUCAACUCGUUUAAACCCUUUUAAGGCCCCGGGUCCGGAUGGCUUGCACCCUUUUUUCUUCCAGAGAUACUGGGAAAUUGUAGGAAAAUCUCUUGAGGAUUUUUGUGCUCAAGUUUUCACUGAGUGGGCUAUCCCGCCUAUUGUGAACCAGACUUACAUCUACCUAAUCCCUAAGACCAGUUUUGCAGCCACCAUAUCUCAAUACGGACCCAUUAGUCUCUGCAACACUGUGUAUAAAGUUAUUACAAAUAUCAUCGUAAAUCGUAUAAAACCUUAUCUCCAGGAAAUUAUUGGCCCUAAGUCUAGUUUCUUAGCAGGAAGAAGGGCUUCAGAUAGUGCUCUGCUAGUUCAAGAGGUGCUACAUUUUCUUAAAAAGCGUAAAGGAAACAAGCACUUGAUGAUGCUUAAAAUUGAUCUGGAAAAAGCCUUUGACCGUCCUGAAUGGUCCUUCAUCCACGACACCCUGAUAUAUUUUAACUUUCCCUCUAAAAUCAUCCGGCUAAUCAUGUCUUGUAUCUGUACAUCAACCAUCUCAGUCCUUAUCAAUGGGGGAUCCACUCCAUUUUUUGCUCCCAAUAGAGGUAUCCGUCAGGGUAACCCCUUGUCACCAUACAUAUUUAUCCUUUGCAUGGAAAGGCUAUCUAGAAGAAUCGACAUAGCUGUUGAUCACCUUCUCUGGACGCCAAUUGUCACCUAUCCAAGGGGUAUUCUUAUUUCCCACCUUUUUUUCGCAGACGAUAUCAUCCUCUGUGGAGAAAUAAAUGAUUCUACCUGCAUGGCCAUCUCAACAGCAAUGUCCCAAUUUGGAGUUAUCUCAGGGCAAAAAAUAAAUUACUCCAAGUCAAAAAUCUUUUUCUCAGAUAAUACACCAACUGCAAAAAAGAUUCUAGCUUGUACUAACCUACACUUAAGUAAGGGCUCCUCUUUUGGGAAAUAUCUCGGGUUUCCAAUGUCCACGAGGUUGGCCAAAUCAGACUACCAAGUACUCGUGGACACCUUCAAAGCCCCGCCUAUCAGGUUGGAAACGAAAAUUCCUCACCUUGGCUGGGAAGGCCACACUUAUCCAGUCUACCCUUAAUAGCCUCCCAAAUCAUAUCAUGCAGCUUAUUCAACUUCCAGCCUAUGUGGUUAAAGAGCUCCAACGUCAUGAGCGAAAUUUUCUUUGGGGCUCUACGCAAACCCGUAGGAGGAUUCAUCUUCUCAAAUGGUCGAUGGUUACAAAACCGAAGGAUGAAGGCGGGUUAGGCAUUCAAGACUUAGUCCCAAAAAAUAAAGCUUUAUUGGCAUGCUCAUCUUGGCGUUGUUUUCACUAGAACAACACCAUCUGGGCAAAUUUACUUAAAGGAAAAUACCUUUGGCGACCACACAAUAAUCUUAGUACAGCUGCUACAAUCUCUAGAACUUGGAGAGCCCUCCAGCAGGGUUGGAAGACCUGCCAGUUGGGCCUUCGUUGGCAGCCUGCUACAGGUCGCUUCAUCAACUUCUUUACUGACUCUUGGAUCAAACCAAACUCCACCAUUCGAUCCCUUUUACAAGGGCCCCUCCUUCCUGAAGAAAGCGAAGCCAAUGUGGUGAAGUUUAGAACCUCCGAAAUAGGGGAUUUCUCGGCACUCUCUAUUGAUCUUCCACCUGGGGUUGUCUCCCAAAUUCAACAAGUUUAUUUUCCCAGGUUCGCAAGUACUUUUGAUCGCAUCACUUGGGGAUUAACAAAUUCGGGCCUCUUUAGUGUUAAAACAUGCAUGUCUGCUCUAGCUUCCUUUAAUAACCCUUCAUCCACUGUCACGAGCCAAACAAAUCACCAUCCAAACUUCAACUGGAUCUGGCGGCUUCCGAUCCCUCCUAAAAUCAAACACUUCCUCUGGCUGCUUAAUCAUGACAGAACGCCAACAGCUGCAUAUCUCCACCAUAUAAGGGUUAUUGACUCACCAACAUGUCGCCUCUGCGACUGCUCCACUGCAGAAACAAAUGCGCACAUUUUCCUGUUUUGUCCUAAAGUGACUUCACUCUGGGACUAUAUCCAAAUUAAAAAUGAGGCACACUCUUUAACAGAUCCCUCCCUAGCACCAACUCAAUGGUUGCAAAGGUUCAUACGACUUAGAGUUCCCGCUAUCUCCAAUAGAUUGGGUCUUAUUCCUUCAUCGGUUUUCCUUUGCUUUUGUCUUUGGUCAAUUUGGACUGCGCGCACAGAAUUGCUUCUACACUGUCUUUAGACCGUAUCUGUCACAGUGUAACUGAGUUUUGGUUUCUCACUGGGCCCACAAAAGUUGAGAGAUGUACUAUUCCUAUGUAUGUUAAAUGGAAGCCCCCUGACCAGACUAAUAUCAUGCUAAACACUGACUGUGCAGCCCAUUCUGAGCUUCCUGAUCAUUAAUCUUUAGGAGGUGUCUUUAGAAAUUACUCAAGCAACUGGCUGCAGUCAUACUAGGUCUUCAGCUAGCUUAUCAGCAUAUCCACUCCCCGUUGGAAAUCGGUACAGACUCACAGCAGCUAGCUAACUUAUUAAUUAAUGCAACAUGCUCUAACUCAAAUGUUAUCUCUGAUUGCAGGUUCCUUCUCC
rnacentral:lncRNA from 1 species